rnacentral:rRNA from 1 species
CCUACGGGGGGCAGCAGUGGGGAAUAUUGGACAAUGGGGGGAACCCUGAUCCAGCCAUGCCGCGUGUGUGAAGAAGGCCCUCGGGUUGUAAAGCACUUUCAGUGAGGAAGAACGCCUGGUGGUUAAUACCCAUCAGGAAAGACAUCACUCACAGAAGAAGCACCGGCUAACUCCGUGCCAGCAGCCGCGGUAAUACGGAGGGUGCGAGCGUUAAUCGGAAUUACUGGGCGUAAAGCGCGCGUAGGUGGCUUGAUAAGCCGGUUGUGAAAGCCCCGGGCUCAACCUGGGAACGGCAUCCGGAACUGUCAAGCUAGAGUGCAGGAGAGGAAGGUAGAAUUCCCGGUGUAGCGGUCAAAUGCGUAGAGAUCGGGAGGAAUACCAGUGGCGAAGGCGGCCUUCUGGACUGACACUGACACUGAGGUGCGAAAGCGUGGGUAGCAAACAGGAUUAGAUACCCCGGUAGUC